GGAGUUAUAGCUCAGUGGUAGAGCACUUGCCUGGCAUGCAUGAGACCUGGGUUCAGUCCCCAGAACCACA
rnacentral:tRNA from 1 species